GUCUGAUGCAGCAACGCCGCGUGGAGGAUGACACAUUUCGGUGCGUAAACUCCUUUUAUAUGAGAAGAUAAUGACGGUAUUAUAUGAAUAAGCACCGGCUAACUCCGUGCCAGCAGCCGCGGUAAUACGGGGGGUGCAAGCGUUACUCGGAAUCACUGGGCGUAAAGAGCAUGUAGGCGGAUUAAUAAGUUUGAAGUGAAAUCCUAUAGCUUAACUAUAGAACUGCUUUGAAAACUGUUAAUCUAGAAUGUGGGAGAGGUAGAUGGAAUUUCUGGUGUAGGGGUAAAAUCCGUAGAGAUCAGAAGGAAUACCGAUUGCGAAGGCGAUCUACUGGAACAUUAUUGACGCUGAGAUGCGAAAGCGUGGGGAGCAAACAGGAUUAGAUACCCUGGUAGUCCACGCCCUAAACGAUGUACACUAGUUGUUGUGAGACUUGAUCUUGCAGUAAUGCAGUUAACACAUUAAGUGUACCGCC
rnacentral:rRNA from 1 species